ACGACACGUGGCAGAACUCUUAGAAUCCAAGAACCUUGUUAGGGUAUGCAAGGAUUCAGAGAGCCUUCUUGAGUCUUCGGGUUGAGAGAGAAUCUCCAAGUCUCCUAGUCUUUCAAAAGGUCCAAGUCCUGAGUCUGAAGAGAAGUCCCCUUCCCAAUGGAGUGGAAAGGGUAUUUAUAGGAUUUUUCUGGAGAGUGGUCAUGUGCUAGGCACAUGAUCUCAGAGAAAUUCCAAAUUUACCCUUAGUCAUCAGAGUAAUGCCCAAAUCGUCCUGCCCUUCUAGCCACCAAUCCAAUCCCUCAAUCAAUUCCCAAAAUGAGUCGCCUCCACAAGU
rnacentral:lncRNA from 1 species